CCGAAAGGCAGGAGUGCCUGCAAGGGAGCGCGGAGACAGGUGGUGCAUGGCUGUCGUCAGCUCGUGUCGUGAGAUGUUGGGUUAAGUCCCGCAGCGAGCGCAACCCUCACCUCUUGUUGCCAUCAGGUCAUGCUGGGCACUCUAGAGGAACUGCCCCGGUCAACGGGGAGGAAGGCGGGGAUGACGUCAAGUCAUCAUGCCCCUUACGUCCUGGGCUACACACGUGCUACAAUGGCUGGUACAAAGGGAUGCCACACCGCGAGGUAGAGCUAAACCCAAAAAGCCGGUCUAAGUUCGGAUUGGAGUCUGCAACUCGACUCCAUGAAGGAGGAAUCGCUAGUAAUCGCGUAUCAGCACGACGCGGUGAAUACGUUCCCGGGCCUUGUACACACCGCCCGUCACACCACGAAAGCCAGCUGUACUCGAAGUCG
rnacentral:rRNA from 1 species